rnacentral:rRNA from 1 species
CCGCUGAACUUAAGCAUAUCAAUAAGCGGAGGAAAAGAAACCAACCGGGAUUGCCUCAGUAACGGCGAGUGAAGCGGCAAGAGCUCAAAUUUGAAAGCUGGCUCCUUCGGGGUCCGCAUUGUAAUUUGCAGAGGAUGCUUCGGGUGCAGCCCCCGUCUAAGUGCCCUGGAACGGGCCGUCAUAGAGGGUGAGAAUCCCGUAUGGGGCGGGGUGUCUGCGUCCGUGUGAAGCUCCUUCGACGAGUCGAGUUGUUUGGGAAUGCAGCUCUAAAUGGGUGGUAAAUUUCAUCUAAAGCUAAAUACUGGCCGGAGACCGAUAGCGCACAAGUAGAGUGAUCGAAAGAUGAAAAGCACUUUGAAAAGAGAGUUAAACAGCACGUGAAAUUGUUGAAAGGGAAGCGCUUGCAACCAGACUCGCUCGCGGGGUUCAGCUGGGCUUCGGCCCGGUGUACUUCCCCGCGGGCGGGCCAGCGUCGGUUUGGGCGGCCGGUCAAAGGCCUCCGGAAUGUAGCGCCCUUCGGGGCGCCUUAUAGCCGGGGGUGCAAUGCGGCCAGCCUGGACCGAGGAACGCGCUUCGGCACGGACGCUGGCAUAAUGGUUGUAAACGACCCGUCUUGAAACCACGGACC